rnacentral:lncRNA from 1 species
AUGCUCCUUCAAGUAGGGCAGAAGGACUUUCUGUUUCUUUUUCUUCUCUUUACAGGAGGACUUUUUUAUCACAUGGAUAAAAGAGGAAACAUCAAAAGUCUCCAGGUCACUUUGCCAUUGUACAAAUCUCAAAAUUUCACAAGCCUACCCUCGUCAUUUAUGGAAAAUUUGGGAGAAAAGGGCUCCCUCUCCAGCAGUGCCUCUGCUCUCAAGUGUUUCCCCGUUAAGACACUGUUUUCUGCAUAUUUUACAUCAGCCACUCUCCACUCUUCUUCCUGUUUUGUUUUUUCAAGCACAGCAAACCUAGAAGGAGGCCAAGGUACCAAGAUUCAUACCUAGAUCAGUAAGGGAAUCAUGAAACAUAAACACUGAGCUCUUAGCUACUGUCCUGUGCUGUAUCAAAUAAUAUUAUGAGAAAAAAACUCAUCUUACCAAAAUGACAUACUGUAAGGUAACAAACAUUAAAACAAUAGAGCACCGCUACCAAAAUUGACCUGUAUGACAAUACAGAAAAUCUAGGAGUAUAUUUAGUUAUAUGUAUUGAUUACAUAACAAUUUCACAGUAAAUAAAGCAAGAUCCUGAAAACA